rnacentral:rRNA from 1 species
AGAGUUUGCUCCUGGCUCAGGGCGAACGCUGGCGGCACGCUUCAGACAUGCAAGUCGAGCGAUCGGACGCUGGGUGCUUGCACUCGGCGUUACGGAGCGGCGAACGGGUGAGUAACACGUGGGCAACCUGCCUCGAGGACGGGGACAACUCCGGGAAACUGGGGCUAAUACCCGAUGUGCUUUCCGAAUCGCAUGGUUCGGUAAGCAAAUGGUUCUUCCGCCUCGAGAGGGGCCCGCGGCCUAUCAGCUUGUUGGUGGGGUAACGGCCUACCAAGGCUUUGACGGGUAGCCGGCCUGAGAGGGUGUCCGGCCACACCGGGACUGAGACACGGCCCGGACUCCUACGGGAGGCAGCAGUCGGGAAUCUUGCACAAUGGGCGCAAGCCUGAUGCAGCGAUGCCGCGUGAGGGAUGAAGGCCUUCGGGUCGUAAACCUCUUUCAGUAGGGAAGAAGCCUCGGAACACCGAGGUGACGGUACCUGCAGAAGAAGCCCCGGCUAACUACGUGCCAGCAGCCGCGGUAAAACGUAGGGGGCGAGCGUUGCCCGGAUUCACUGGGCGUAAAGCGGGUGUAGGCGGUUCCUUAAGUCGGAUGUGAAAUCUCACGGCCCAACCGUGGAAUUGCAUCCGAUACUGGGGGACUUGAGGACGGUAGAGGCCGGUGGAAUUCCCGGUGUACCGGUGAAAUGGGCAGAUAUCGGGAGGAACACCAGUGGCGUAGGCGGCCGGCUGGGCCGAUCCUGACGCUGAGACCCGAAAGCCAG